CCGAGUUGUAACACUCACAAACCCACUGCAAACGUACCCAUAUUGGCGACUCCGGCAGGCGGCCCCAGGGCGGGGCCUCAGCCUUUUCAGGCGCCUGCCGAAGGUGCCGCAAUUUUACUCUGUAAAUCAUGUAUUCUGAGUCCUGAGACAAAAUAUCA
rnacentral:misc_RNA from 1 species